CCCUUAGAUGUUCUGGGCCGCACGCGCGCUACACUGAUGCAUUCAACGAGUUUCUUCCUGGUCCGAGAGGAAUGGGUAACCUUUUGAAAGUGCAUCGUGAUAGGGAUAGACUAUUGCAAUUAUUGGUCUUCAACGAGGAAUUCCUAGUAGACGUAGUUCAUCAGACUGCAUCGAUUACGUCCCUGCCCUUUGUACACACCGCCCGUCGCUCCUACCGAUUGAAUGCUCAGGUGAGCCAUUCGGACUUUCAUCAUGCUGGUUUCCAGUUUUGAUGAAGGAAAGUCUUGCUAACCUUAUCAUUUAGAGGAAGGAGAAGUCGUAACA
rnacentral:rRNA from 1 species